UACGUAGGGGGCAAGCGUUGUCCGGAUUUAUUGGGCGUAAAGAGCGUGUAGGCGGCCAGACAGGUCCGUUGUGAAAACUCGAGGCUCAACCUCGAGAUGUCGAUGGAAACCGUCUGGCUAGAGUCCGGAAGAGGAGUGUGGAAUUCCUGGUGUAGCGGUGAAAUGCGCAGAUAUCAGGAGGAACACCCGGGGCGAAGGCGGCCCUCUGGCUCGACCCUGACGCUGAGGCGCGAAAGCGUGGGGAGCGAACGGG
rnacentral:rRNA from 1 species